GACGUAGGGCGCGAGCGUUGUCCGGAUUCAUUGGGCGUAAAGAGCUCGUAGGCGGCCACUCAAGUCGAAUGUGAAACCUCGAGGCUCAACCUCGAGCCUGCAUUCGAUACUGGGCGGCUAGAGUCUGGUAGGGGGAUCUGGAAUUCCUGGUGUAGCGGUGGAAUGCGCAGAUAUCAGGAGGAACACCGGUGGCGAAGGCGGGAUCCUGGGCCAGUACUGACGCUGAGGAGCGAAAGCGUGGGGAGCAAACAGG
rnacentral:rRNA from 1 species